rnacentral:misc_RNA from 1 species
UCCAGUGUUGUGAUAUACAGUACCCAAUUCAUCCUUCUUCAGUUCCUCCAUCUUACCAUCCUCAGACAGAAUCUCCCUGCUCAAUCCAACCUCAUGACUACAUUUCACCCCAACUGCACCCAUCGAAACCUCAUUUCCUCCAUCUCCACCAAUCUCAGAGACCUCCUUUUCUCCAUUCAAUUCAUGGCAAACCACUUCACUAGUAGUCCCACCCUCAUCAAUCUUAUCAACACUAUCACCACCAACCAAAUCCUUCGACCUUUCUCCACCAACCACUGCAGCCAAAUCCUCAAGGUC